UACAGAGGUCCCGAGCGUUGUUCGGAAUUAUUGGGCGUAAAGGGCGUGUAGGCGGUUCGUUAAGUCUUCUGUGAAAUCUACGGGCUUAGCCUGUAACGUGCAGAGGAAACUAGCGGGCUUGAGUGUCGGAGAGGAUAGGGGAAUACCCAGUGUAGAGGUGAAAUUCGUAGAGAUUGGGUGGAACACCAGUGGCGAAGGCGCCUAUCUGGCUGACAACUGACGCUGAGACUCGAAAGCAUGGGGAGCAAACAGG
rnacentral:rRNA from 1 species